AACAGCUCAAAUUUGAAAUCUGGCUUCCAACGGGAGUCCGAGUUGUAAUUUGUAGAAGGUAUCUCCGGGGCGGCGACAGUCUAAGUUCCCUGGAACGGGGCGUCAAAGAGGGUGAGAAUCCCGUACGUGAUUGCCAGCCAACCCGAUGUGAGGACCUUUCGACGAGUCGAGUUGUUUGGGAAUGCAGCUCAAAAUGGGUGGUAAAUUUCAUCUAAAGCUAAAUACCGGCCAGAGACCGAUAGCGCACAAGUAGAGUGAUCGAAAGAUGAAAAGCACUUUGGAAAGAGAGUUAAAAAGCAUGUGAAAUUGUUGAAGGGGAAGCGCUUGCAACCAGACUUGCCCGCGGGUGAUCAACCUCUUCCCUCGGGGAUUGGUGUACUCAUCCACGAACAGGCCAGCAUCGGUUUUAACCGUCGGACGAAGGCUCAAGGAAUGUGGCUUCCUCCGGGGAGUGUUAUAGCCUUGAGCGUAAUGCGGCGAGUUGGGACCGAGGACCGCACUUUAUAGUUAGGAUGUUGGCGUAAUGGNUGCUAGCGACCCGUCUUGAAACACGGACCAAGGAGUCGACCAACCAUGCGAGUGUUUGGGCAUUAAACCCACACGCGUAAUGAAAGUGAACGGAGGUGGGAACCCCUUUGGGGGCGCACCAUCGACCGAUCCUGAUGUCUUCGGAUGGAUUUGAGUAUGAGCAUUUUUGGUUGGACCCGAAAGAUGGUGAACUAUGCCUGAGUAGGGUGAAGUCAGGGGAAACCCUGAUGGAGGCUCGCAGCGGUUCUGACGUGCAAAUCGAUCGUCAAACUUGGGUAUAGGGGCGAAAGACUAAUCGAACCAUCUAGUAGCUGGUUCCUGCCGAAGUUUCCCUCAGGAUAGCAGCAACUUUUUCAGUUUUAUGAGGUAAAGCGAAUGAUUAGAGGUCUGGGGGCAGAAACUGCCUUCACCUAUUCUCAAACUUUGAAUAUGUAAGAAGUCCUUGUUGCUUAGUUGAACGUGGACAUUUGAAUGUACAGUUGCUAGUGGGCCAUUUUUGGUAAGCAGAACUGGCGAUGCGGGAUGAACCGAACGCGAUGUUAAGGUGCCGGAAUGUACGCUCAUCAGACACCACGAAAGACGUGAAAGCAUCUGGACAGCCGGACGGUGGCCAUGGAAGUCGGAAUCCGCUAAGGAGUGUGUAACAACUCACCGGCCGAAUGCUUUUGCCGUGAAAAUGGAUGGCGCUCAAGCGUGCUACCCAUACAUCGCCGCCA
rnacentral:rRNA from 1 species